rnacentral:rRNA from 1 species
GUGGGGAAUCUUGCGCAAUGGGCGAAAGCCUGACGCAGCCAUGCCGCGUGAAUGAUGAAGGUCUUAGGAUUGUAAAAUUCUUUCACCGGGGACGAUAAUGACGGUACCCGGAGAAGAAGCCUCGGCUAACUUCGUGCCAGCAGCCGCGGUAAUACGAAGGGGGCUAGCGUUGCUCGGAAUUACUGGGCGUAAAGGGCGCGUAGGCGGACAGUUUAGUCAGAGGUGAAAGCCCAGGGCUCAACCUUGGAAUUGCCUUUGAUACUGGCUGUCUUGAGUACGGGAGAGGUGAGUGGAACUCCGAGUGUAGAGGUGAAAUUCGUAGAUAUUCGGAAGAACACCAGUGGCGAAGGCGACUCACUGGCCCGUUACUGACGCUGAGGCGCGAAAGCGUGGGGAGCAAACAGGAUUACAUACCCUGGUAGUCC